AUUGAACGCUGGCGGCAUGCUUUACACAUGCAAGUCGAACGGUAACAGGCCGCAAGGUGCUGACGAGUGGCGAACGGGUGAGUAAUGCAUCGGAACGUGCCCAGUCGUGGGGGAUAACUACUCGAAAGAGUAGCUAAUACCGCAUACGAUCUAUGGAUGAAAGCGGGGGACCGUAAGGCCUCGCGCGAUUGGAGCGGCCGAUGUCAGAUUAGGUAGUUGGUGGGGUAAAGGCUCACCAAGCCAACGAUCUGUAGCUGGUCUGAGAGGACGACCAGUCACACUGGGACUGAGACACGGCCCAGACUCCUACGGGAGGCAGCAGUGGGGAAUUUUGGACAAUGGGCGCAAGCCUGAUCCAGCAAUGCCGCGUGCAGGAAGAAGGCCUUCGGGUUGUAAACUGCUUUUGUACGGAACGAAACGGCUCUGGUUAAUACCCGGGGCUAAUGACGGUACCGUAAGAAUAAGCACCGGCUAACUACGUG
rnacentral:rRNA from 1 species